ACUGACUUAACAUGUGUAUCUUGCUUGCUGUGAGGCAGGCUCAGUGGUAGAGCUCUCUUGACACUGAGGAGGAAACCUCAGGCUGGCAGAGCACUGCUCUCUGUGGGAUUCAGAAGGCAACUCACUGGAAGGAGAUGGAAGCCUCCAUGAGUAGCCGUUACCAUGCUGGAGAGAACAUCCUAGGAGACACAGGAAGAUUAGCGGCAGACUUUGAUGUUGAGCUCUUCUCCGCUUGACUGAAAAUCUGGGAUCUUCUGCAUUAUGUGAGGAGGAUCUCACAAGUUGUCCAGGCUGGGCUCAAACCUGCAGUCCACCUACCUGAGUCUCCAGCAUGUUGAAAUUACAGGAAAUGCCCUCAGUGUCUUCGUGUCUACUUCCGCAUAGCCCUACGAUUCCGUGAGGUAAGCUGCUCACCUCCACCACGCACCUCUGCCACGCCAUCCUGCCUUGGAGCCAGCCAACUUCGAACUGCACCGUAUGUCAAAAUAAAUUGUUCCUUCCUUAA